rnacentral:rRNA from 1 species
AGUGAACGCUGGCGGUAGGCCUAACACAUGCAAGUCGAACGGCAGCACAGUAAGAGCUUGCUCUUACGGGUGGCGAGUGGCGGACGGGUGAGGAAUACAUCGGAAUCUACUUUUUCGUGGGGGAUAACGUAGGGAAACUUACGCUAAUACCGCAUACGACCUACGGGUGAAAGCAGGGGAUCUUCGGACCUUGCGCGAUUGAAUGAGCCGAUGUCGGAUUAGCUAGUUGGCGGGGUAAAGGCCCACCAAGGCGACGAUCCGUAGCUGGUCUGAGAGGAUGAUCAGCCACACUGGAACUGAGACACGGUCCAGAAUCCUACGGGAGGCAGCAGUGGGGAAUAUUGGGCAAUGGGCGCAAGCCUGAUCCAGCCAAACCGCGUGGGUGAAGAAGGCCUUCGGAUUGUAUAGCCCUUUUGUUGGGAAAGAAAAGCAGAAGGUUAAUACCCCGCUGUUCUGACGGUACCCAAAGAAUAAGCACAGGCUAACUUCGUG